UCCACGCCGUAAACGAUGAUCACUAGUUGUGUGCGAUAUACAGUACGUGACUGAGCGAAAGCAUUAAGUGAUCCACCUGGGGAGUACGUUCGCAAGAAUGAAACUCAAAGGAAUUGACGGGGGCCCGCACAAGCGGAGGAACAUGUGGUUUAAUUCGAUGAUACGCGAGGAACCUUACCCGGGCUUAAAUUGGUAGUGCCAGUAUAAGAGAUUAUAUUUUCCUUCGGGACACU
rnacentral:rRNA from 1 species